rnacentral:lncRNA from 1 species
GGCGGGCUCCUGGCCGCGGCGCAGCUCGCGUUCGCCAUCCCGUUCCUCCGGGCCCGGAUCCCACGCUCCGGGCUUUAGCUGCGACCGAGUAGGCAGUCGGGGCGAAGGAAACGGGAACUGAAAGCGAUGAAAAGCGUUCCACACGCCACGAGCCCGCGGGAUCCUCGGAGAGUAUGGAACCCUUCCCCUCCGCUCUCAGCCGGAGGCCAGCUGCGUCCAGCCGGGCUCGGUCUUCUGAACACCGAUUUCAAAUCAGGUCCUCGGGGCCCAGCGUCACUUAGGGAAGUGGUGGCAUUUUGUGGUUGCUGCUAAAUCACGGAGAGCAGCCUUGGCGCUGCCGGUCCCAACUUGAUCCAAGGAGCCUUGAGAAGGAGAUGAGAUUCAGUACCAGGGGCCGGCCGUGGCUCCCAUCCUCCGGAAUCUGCAAAAUGGCUACUUCUUCAGAAAUAAUGGGGAGAGGGAUGGCAAGAGGCCAGAGAUCAAGGCCCUCGAGUAUUAACUUGAGCAUUUGGGCACAAAAUAGACACUUUUGGAUUUUCCCGUCUUUUCCAACACCAAGGAUGAGAUUAUCAAAAGAUGUGUUAAAUUAAUUUGUACCGGCCGGGCGCGGUGGCUUACGCCUGUAAUCCCAACACUUUGGGAGGCCGAGGCGGGCGAAUCACAAGGUCAUGAGUUCGAAACCAGCCUGGCCAAUAUGGUGAAACCCCCGUCUCUACUAAAAAUACAGAAAUUAGCCGGGAGUGGUGGCGUACGCCUGUAGUCCCAGCUACUCUGGAGGCUAAGGCAGGAGAAUCGCUUGAAUCCGGGAGGUGGAGGUCGCAGUGAGCCGAGACCGGGCCACUGCACUCCAGCCUGGGAGACAGAGCGAGACUCUGUCUCAAGAAAAAAAAAAAAUCAAUUUGUACCAUUCCUUGCCCCACCCUGCCGAACUUAUUGAAAGAGCAUCGCUUUCCUCACUUUUCUCCUCUAACAGAAAAGCACUUAGAUGAAGCUACAGGGAGCCAGAAUUCUUUUGACUUGGUGGGUACCGGAGGAUUGGAAGAAUCUAGAUUGAGUAUUCCUUGGCCUUUGGGGAGCUUGCUCUAUGCAAAGUCACCCAGGAAAUGAUACUCCCCCCACUGUGAAACACUAGCUAGAGAUGAUAGACAAAAAGCACAUUUGUUGUAAUCUCCCUUUGACGGGAUUCAGGUUGGGAUAGAUGUCGAAGCAGCUGCUUCUAGGUAGUCAACGAAGAUGUCAACUAGUAAAUGACAACAGACAAGGAUGAGCACAGCAGAGCUGUACGAUUCUAGAUAUCAAAAAGAGCAAGCAGUCUGUUGUACUCACCAUCGCAUCCUCAGCAGCUGCCCAGUGCCCGGUUUUAACUUAGUGCUCAGUGUAUGUGUCAGGUUUGAAUCCCAAUUCUGAUACUACCUGUGCUACUCUCUUCACCUCUCUGAGUCUGUAAAGGAUUAUUUAAGAAUUAAAUGAAACAACAUACAGAAAAGUGUCCUGCAUGUAUAUUUAGUGCCUAACAAAUAUUGGUUGAACGUCGAAAGUGGCAAGGAGGCUCAGUAUGUUCUUAUACGCUUUGCCUCCCUUCUCCUGAGCAAGCAUGUCCUUGCCCAGCUCAUCUGCUUCUCUCACCACUUUUGCCCUCACUCCCUCCACCUGUCCUCCAAAUGACUCAAAAUAAUCUGCACUAUUUAUUAUGCAUCUACUAUGUUCCAAGACAAUGAGGGUCAGCUGAGCCCGCAUUGCAGGAUGGAAAUUUCCAACUAUGUUCUGUUUACAGCUAAUGAUAUUUGCACCUAAUGCAAAGGUUUACAGACUUUACUGUUAUAGAAUCAUUUGGAAUACCUGUUGAAGAUGCAGACACCCACCUUACCAUACCUCCUAUUGCUAAGAUUACGCUUGAAAGGAUCUGAGGUAGGGGCUCUGGAUCUGCAUUUUUUAUUUUUUACAUCUCUAUACAUUAUUUUACAUAAAUGUAUAAAUGGAGUCAUGACAUACAUAUUGAAUUUUUCACUUACAAAAAUUUUUAUUCCGUGUAUUCCCUCUUCUCUUCCCCUACAUUAACAACCUAGUACAUUUCUUUAAAUAUUCUUGUAAUAGUGUAUAUCUGCACUUACAUAAAAUAACAUGUAAUUGUAUAAAAACAAUACAUAUUCAUGCAGAUAUGCAUACACUCUAAUACUGAGCUUUGGCAUUGUCUUGAAAAAGUUAGAUCAUAUGUAUAUUUUUCUGCAGCUGUUUUUCUCAAUACGUAUGGCAGAAUUUCUCAGCAAGAUGUGCAUUGUCAGAGAGACAGUCUUAAGGUUUCUUCCCCUAGUAUGCCACAUAAAUAUUAUCACUUUUUAUGUGUAGCAUGCCUAUAGAGUGAAAAGGGAAGCAUGGCCUAAUGGAAACCAUAUAUCUGAUUCAUUAUUCUUAACAACUGCAAAAAUCAGCAUAUGUAAAGGAUCUCAGGUGAUUUUUUUUUUUUUUUUUUUUGAGACCGAGUCUUACUCUGUCACCCAGGCUGGAGUGCAGUGGCACAAUCGUGGCUCACUACAACCUCCACCUCCCUUGUUUAAGCAAUUCUCCUGCCUCAGCCUCCCGAGUAGCUGGGAUUACAGGCAUGCACCACCACACCCGGCUAAUUUUUGUAUUUUUAGUAGAGAUAGGGUUUCACUUUGUUUGCCAGGCUGGUCUCGAACUCCUGACCUCAAAUGAUCCAGGCCACCUCUGCCUCCCAAAGUGCUGGGAUUACAGGCAUGAGCCACCAUGCUUGGCCAACCUGAGAUGACUUUGGUGGUGGCUGAUCACACUUUUGGGAACACUGAUAUGAGGACAUGCAGACAUAUGGUCCAUGGGUGAGGGUCUUAAUCUGUUUGUGUUGCUAUAAAGGAAUACGGGAGGCUGGAUAAUGUAUGAAGAAAAGAGGAUUAUUUGACUCAUGGUUCUGCAGGCUGUCAGCUUCAGAUGAGGGCCUUAUGCUGCUUCCACUCAUGCAGAAGGCAAAGGGGAGACUUCGUGCAGAGAUCACAUGGCUACAGUGCAAGAUGGGGCAUCAGGGGAGAGAAAGGGAGAAGCUGACUCUCGGUUCUUUUGAACAACCUGUUCUCAAGGAUGAGAACUCACUCUCAGGAGAAUAGCACCAAGCCAUUUGUGAGGAAUUCAUCCAUAUGGCCCAAACACCUCCCACCAGGCCCCAACUCCAGCACUGGGACUCAUAUUUCAACAUGACACUUUGCAGGUCCAAAGCCAUACCCAAACCAUAGCAGGGAGCUUAUUAAUUCAUUAGCCUCCAUGAAAUUUAGAAUUAUAGAAUGUGCGAGCUGAGAAGGAACCUCAGCCUCUCUCAUGAUUGAAGAAACUGGAGUUUGGACAGGUUAAGUAAUUUGUCUCAGACACCAAGGAAGUGAAUGGGGAAACAGGGAACAGAACUCAGGUCUCUUGACUAAUGUUUUAGACAUUAAAUAAAUAGGUUAUUAAAUGAAUAGAAUUAUUCUAUAUGAAUAAUUUCAUAUAGAAGGAAGAAAUGCUAUGUGCAAGGUAGAGAGAAAUUAUACAAGAAGCCUCAUUUGGUGCAGGAGUUCAUUUUACGGAAGGUACCUCCUAAAUUUGGUAGAACAAAGACUCAAAACCAGUCUAUGCCCUCUCUCCUGCAAACCAACCGUUUGAUCUUGAACAUAUCAACUCACCUUUCUAACCAGAGUUUCUACUCUAGUACAUCAUUCAAGUAUUUCUUGAGCAACUAAAACAGUGAUGUUGUGGAUAAAGCAGUAAACCAGGUAUAAAGCGUAAGGCCUGCUCCAGAAAACUUCCUAAAAGGCCUAGAACAUGGCUAAAGGAUAUCUCAGAUCCUUUGGACAGUUCUAACGUUCUAUUAAUCUGGGACAGUGGCUCACUCCUCCCUAACCCUGUUUCUUUUCCCCUCAGAGUGUGCCUCCCAUCAUCAUCAUGCUGCUUCUCCUCAGACUGACACUUUUAAUUGGUGAACCUAUUGAGCAGGGUCUAGAGUCUGAAUUCCUUGUUUUCUAAACUGCCUAGCUUAUAGCUGGGGAAUGCUAGGAAAAUGCCAAGUUAGAUAUUUACGUUUCUUGCCUCAAAAGGUUCACUGGAUUCUGGGUUCACUGAUGGAUUAGAACUGAAAUCCAUCAUCUCUUACAGUGGGUCUAGUCUCCAGAUUUGCUGCUGUGUCUGCUGAUACCCUCGACGCCCCAGCACCAGCCUAUCUGGCUCCCUAUUCUGCCACUGGCUACAUUUUCAGGCAAUAACAGAGGAGGUGCAGGCAUUGUGUGGUAGGCCAAAUAAUCCUCCCCUCCCCCAAAGAUGUCCAUGCUAUAAUCCCUAGAAUCUGUAAAUAUGUUACCUUACAUGGCAAAAGAGACUUUGCAGGUGUAAUUAAGGUUAAGAACCUUGAGAGGAGGGGAUUAUCCUGGAUUAUUCAAGUAGGCCCAAUGUAAUCACGAGUCCUUGAAAGUGGAAGAGGAAAGCAGAAGAGUUGCUGACUUUGAUGAUUGAGGAAGGGGUUCUUAAACUAGGGCAUGUGAGUGGCUUCUGAAGCUGGAAAGAACCCUCAGCUGACAGCCACCAAGGAAACAGAGAUUUCAGUCUUACAGACUCAAGGAACUACAUUCUACCAAUGAUCAAUGUACAAGGAAAUAGAUUUUCCCUCGAGCCUCCAGAAAGGAACCUAGCCUUGCUGACACUUUGAUUUUAGACUGGUGAAAUUCAUGCUGAACUUAUGACCUACAGAGUUGUAAAAUAAAU